AACUUCCAAAUUGUAGACAUCAGCCAAUUGCUGUUGGUGGACUUAGAUUAUACAUUGAUUUUUAACCUACUUCCAACUUCCAACUUCAGGACAUUUACCUACUUCCAGCUUCCAAAUCUACAUAUGUUCAAUGGUGACACUCUGACAAAAAUUCUGACAAAACUUCCAACUUCAGGACAUUUACCUACUUCCAGCUUCCAAAUUGACAUAUAUUCAAUAGUGACACUCUGACAAAAAUUCUGACAAAACUUAGACUAUACAUUGAUUUUUAACCAACUUCCAACUUCAGGACAUUUACCUACUUCCAACUUCCAAAUUGUAGACAUCAGCCAAUUGCUGUUGGUGGACUUAGAUUAUACAUUGAUUUUUAACCUACUUCCAACUUCCAACUUCAGGAAAUGUACCUACUUCCAACUUCCAAAUCGUAGACAUGAACCGAUUGCUGUCGGUGGACUUAGUGUUUGAAUACAUUUUCAACUUCCAAAUUACUGAUGUUUAGUUUUACCAUGGAGUACUACUGCCCCUAGAGGUUUUUCGAAUUACACUUCCAAAUCCAGACGUACAUUUUUUGGACUCAGUGCUGCCGCCCUUUAGUACGGGAGUACAAAUUUCCAACAUCCAAAUUCAGCAUCCAAAUUCGAGCAUCCAACUUCAACAUCCAAAUCCAGGGUCCAACUUCAGACUUCGAAGGUCCGACUUUACACCUACUUCAAUGGUGACACUCUGUCAAAAAGUCCAAAUUGGAGGGGGGUCAGUCGAGCUGAAUCUUGACUUUCCAAAUCGGGUAUUAAACUCCAUGUUAAAUUGGCCUCAAACCUUAACCCUAACCCUAACCCUAAGCUAUUUUCUCGGCCUAGGAAGGGGCUAGAAACAUAAUUCUUGCAGAUUCAGGGUCGGACCAAGCCCAGCAAAAAAAAGGUAUGAAAAAAAAAUGAAAAAAAAGAAAAAAAAAAAGAAAAAUUUUGAUCGGUUUUAAGUUAUUUUCUCGGCCUAGGAAGGGGCUAAAAACAUAAUUCUUGCAGAUUCAGGGUCGGACCGAGCACAGAAAAAAGAAGGUAUGAAAAAAAAGAGAAAAAAAAAAUGAAAAUUUCAAAUUUCUUAUCAAAAAAAAAAGAAAAAAAAAAAAGACUCGAAAUGGCCUAAAACGUGCUCCUAGACACUUUCUGUGGGAACUUAUUUUUUCACUAACAAAUUUUGUUGACUCCGCACU
rnacentral:lncRNA from 1 species